UGCUGAGUCAUCUCGGGGUGGCUCCAGCCCCUUGGCCAGUCACUCCUGAUUAACACUGAUGCAAACGAGUGCCGGGCGGGCCCUCACUGCUCACUGAAACCACAGGCAGAGGAGCCAAAGCCUUCGUAAGUGAGGAGCUCCCAGCCAAGGAGCCAUGUGGUGCUCUCACCUUGGCUGAGGUGCUGCAACACGUUCCAGCCUCCAAGUUGGGAAGCAGCUACCAGUUACUGCCCGGGGGAAGAUGAAAGCCCAUAAGAUGCCAUGGAGAGUCAUGGAAGCAGCAGUGAGGCAAUGGUUCCCUUCUGUUCAGCAGCCACAAGGAUGGUGUGAAUGGAAGAUGAAGCCAAAGGUGAGACUGAAGCAGUCUAGCCCUUACCUGGGAGGGAUUGUGUUUGAGAUUCUGCUAGAGGCACCAGCUUGCUGUAAUGUCUGCACGUGACCUCUUCCAAAGGGUGUGAAGAAUGGGGAUGCUGCUGGUCCCAGCCACUCAGAAUCUUCUGUCUGCCCAUGGGAUACUGGGAAGGAGACACAGAUUUGCUGUAACUCUCAUUUAUUUGGGCCAGUGAUGAGGUAGAGCGAAAGAGAGCACAAACACAGGCCCUGUCCCAUGGAGCAGACCAGAUUUCCAAAUCCCUGUCUGCUACCAGGAGAACAGGGCUGAGAAAUGCUCUGCUGACCUGCUGGAGAUCAUGGCCCCUUGUGCAGCAGGGCCCCAAUGGAGGCAGGAGGUGAGGGUGACAGAGGCAUCCAGCCGUGGGACCAUAUCCUUCUCCUCACCACACCUGAUAUCACUGCAAGCCAUGGCCCCACUGCCAGCAGCGGCACCACCAAACACCGAAUCCUCCCCCUUCCUCUCCCAUCUGUGGAAGGACCAGGGCAUGCUGAAGCCACUGCUGUUGGUGGCACCACCUGGUGCAGGGGGCAGCCUGGCCAAGCUCCUGGCUCAGCUUCAUCCCCACUGGAGUGAAGAACAGAGACACAGCAUGACUCAGCAACAUGGAGAGGAGCUGCUGCUCCCACCUGGCUGGUACAUGCAGGGGGACAGUGGGGCUGGAGGCCCUGGGUCUCCCCACCCCAUCCCUGCUCUCCCCCAUGCAGCAAAGGAGCCUGAAUGGAUGGCGUGGGUCAGCCCUGAACAGCUGGGGAUGUGCCACCACCCUGCCUUCACAGAGCAGGUGCCAAACAACUUGCUUUAUCAGGAGCCAGGAGAGCAGGAAGAAGCAGGGGAGCACACAUCCUCCCUCUGACCCAUGUGGCCUGACGUGAUCCCAUGUGGCCAUGCUACCCAUGGGGCCAGCUCCAGCAGAAAUGGUCUCCCCCUCUCUCUUUGGGUCCCGUGGGAGUAGCUGCUGUGUGACUGCUGGCUCUGCUCAGAGGAUGGCUGGUCUCUUGCUCUUGGCCAGCAUGGGGCAACUCACUGCCUCCCAGCCAUGCCAGGACAGAGCUGAGUCCUCACUCUCCUCCUUGAGGUGGCCGGAGCUGCCAGGGUGGGGCUGCUGAUGAGCUGGCAUCAGUGCCAGCAGAUCGUGGGCAGAGGCUGCUGGCUCCGCAUGGUUUGUGCAAAUGAGACGCUGCCUUUGCUGGUGGCAUGCUGGCGCUGGGGCGGAUGUGACUGUCCUUGUGCAGGCAGGUCUGUGCUUGCUGCCCUCGGUCCACAGCAAAAGCCCGGUACUUUCUCAGGGCAGCUCCCUCGACCCACCCGAGGGCUGGAGCUGGAAUGGUCUGGGCUUGCCACAGCUUCGUGGAAGCUCAGCAGUGCUGGCUGUGGGAAUGGCUGAGGGGCCAGGUUGUGUUUGGCAGCCACAGGUGAUGCUGCACCCUGAGCAGAUGUGGCCUCAUGGCCUCUAGAGGUGACUGCUACCAAGCAAUGUGCACACUGAUCUGCAGGAUGUAGGAUGAAGAAUAAGGACCAUGGGGCUGGCAUCUUCCCCAUCCUAAGUGAAGGGGCAGCACGGAUGCCUGCUCAGAUGUUCCUGCCAAAAUGAAGACUAAACAGAGCCUUUCCCCUGCUUGGUGACACCAGUUCAGGUCCCUUUGGAUCCUUCCUCCAUCUACUGAGGGGAUUCUCCAGGCAGAAAACUCAACUGGGAUUGACUGGGGGUGCCAUGAGGACAGUUUAUUGCUCUCCAGAUUUUCUUCUCGUUGAAAUUCUUUGGCAAACACAACCUGAGUUUGCAGGUAACAGCAGGGUGGCCAAACCACAUACUCCCAGUCAGCCAGAGCCUGGGUCUGACUCUCCUAUAAAGCCUUGUGAGAGGUCUGUGGUCACAGAAAGAGGAGGUAAUAGAAGUGCCAGCUCUUGA